rnacentral:tRNA from 1 species
UGGCUCAGUUGGUAGAGCAUGAAGUUUGCAACGCCAGGGUUGUGGGUUCAAUUCCCAC